CUCCUCUCAGGGUCGCGCCUGGAGAGUUUCCGGUCCUCUACCGGUCCCGGCUUCGGGAAGGAGAGUCAAGCAGAGGCCUGCCCGUUCCCUUCCUAGCUUGGGCAGUGGCUAGCGAGGGGAAGGCCAUCUGCUACAAGU